rnacentral:rRNA from 1 species
UACGUAGGGUGCAAGCGUUAAUCGGAAUUACUGGGCGUAAAGCGCACGUAGGCGGUUAGGUAAGUCGGAUGUGAAAGCCCUGGGCUUAACCUGGGAACUGCAUUCGAUACUGCCUGGCUAGAGUAUGGGAGAGGGAAGCGGAAUUUCCGGUGUAGCGGUGAAAUGCGUAGAUAUCGGAAGGAACACCGAUGGCGAAGGCAAUCCCCUGGGCCUGUACUGACGCUCAUGCACGAAAGCGUGGGGAGCAAACAGG